GCCGUCAUAGCUCAGCUGGGAGAGCGACAGACUGAAGCUUACGUCAAGUACAAUCUGCAGGCCGCCUGUUCGAACCAGGCUGAUGGCA